CCGGAAGUUAUGAUUUGAUAGUAGAAGUAGUAGUUUGUGUAUCUGUGUGUGUGAUAGUGGUUCCAGAGGACAUGUGGGUAUCCCGUCGUCAUCUGGAUGCAGUGCAUCAUGGACCUGACUGGCCCAGCAGGCAUUCGGAAAACUGACGCAGCAGGCGAUUUUCCUGCGGGGAAAAUAUCCUCGAGGAGCGUGAACAUCAGAGCCGAGCAGCGCAGGGGCGACGAGGUGAAGUCCUUCGAGGAGAUGAAGAAAUGAGAGGAGAUGAAGGAAAAAAAAAGAAAAAGGUACAUGUAAAUAUUUGAGAAAAGCACAAAAGCCAAAAGGGACAACAAUGCGAUGUAAUGAAAUGAAAUGACAAGCGCCUCAAAGGACAACGAGCGAAGACGUAGCCAAAAAGGAUCAGCAGAAGAUAUAUCGUAUAAAUUAUAAAUGCAAACAAUAAAAGCCGGCGGAGAAGGGAAACUUUUCCCCGAAUUCCCUGAAUUGGCUGCCUUUGGAAAUCACUUCUGAACGUAUGCAGCUGCAGCUUAAGCCCGAAACAUCAUGCCCAGUGUGGCCAUGUCUGAGCUUGCAUCUUGCAGAUGCAAAGAUACUUUUGAGUGAGAGUGAGAGCUGCCAAUUAAUGCGAAUACUUCUCUGUGGGAAUCAAGGACGUGAUGUGACUCCAUUCGCAGACCGGUCACUUGGUUUUUGGCAUCCCUUUUUUUUUGUUUUGUUCAGCAAUUUUCCAAAUUACAUUUAAAAUUUUGCAUUUCCACUUUCCAGCUGCAUACACGUAUCGA